rnacentral:rRNA from 1 species
CCCUUAGAUGUUCUGGGCUGCACGCGCGCUACACUGAAGCGUUCAACGAGUAUUCACCUUGCCCGGGAGGGUUGGGUAAUCUUUUGAAAACGCUUCGUGAUGGGGAUAGAUUAUUGCAAUUAUUAAUCUUCAACGAGGAAUUCCUAGUAAGCGCGAGUCAUCAGCUUGUGCUGAUUACGUCCCUGCCCUUUGUACACACCGCCCGUCGCUCCUACCGAUUGAGUGAUCCGGUGAGUAAUUCGGACUGCAGCACUGCUUGGUCUCCAGGCUUUGCAGCGGAAAGUUUAGUGAACCUUAUCACUUAGAGGAAGGAGAAGUCGUAACA